rnacentral:rRNA from 1 species
CAAAUUUGAAAUCUGGCCUCGGCCCGAGUUGUAAUUUGCAGAGGAUGCUUCUGGCGAGGCACCGACCGAGUCCCCUGGAACGGGGCGCCAUAGAGGGUGAGAGCCCCGUAUGGUCGGACGCUUAGCCUGUGUGAAGCUCCUUCGACGAGUCGAGUAGUUUGGGAAUGCUGCUCAAAAUGGGAGGUAAAUUUCUUCUAAAGCUAAAUACCGGCCAGAGACCGAUAGCGCACAAGUAGAGUGAUCGAAAGAUGAAAAGCACUUUGAAAAGAGGGUUAAAUAGCACGUGAAAUUGUUGAAAGGGAAGCGCUUGUGACCAGACUUGCGCCUGGCCGAUCAUCCGGGGUUCUCCCCGGUGCACUCGGCCAGGCUCAGGCCAGCAUCGGUUCUCUCGGGGGGACAAAGGCUCCGGGCAGAUG